GAUGAACGCUGGCGGCGUGCCUAAUACAUGCAAGUCGAGCGAACGGACGAGAAGCUUGCUGCUCUGAUGUUAGCGGCGGGCGGGUGAGUAACACGUGGAUAACCUACCUAUAAGACUGGGAUAAUUUCGGGAAACCGGAGCUAAUACCGGAUAAUAUUUUGAACCGCAUGGUUCAAUAGAGAAAGACGGUCUUGCUGUAACUUAUAGAUGGAUCCCGGCUGCAUUAGCUAGUUGGUAAGGUAACGGCUUACCAAGGCAACGAUGCGUAGCCGACCUGAGAGGGUGAUCGGCCACACUGGAACUGGGACAGGGUCCAGACGCCUACGGGAGGCAGCAGUAGGGAAUCUUACGCAAUGGGCGAAAGCCUGACGGAGCAACGCCGCGUGAGUGAUGAAGGUCUUCGGAUCGUAAAGCUCUGUUAUUAGGGAAGAACAUAUGUGGAAGUAACUGUGCACAUCUUGACGGUACCUAAUCAGAAAGCCACGGCUAACUACGUG
rnacentral:rRNA from 1 species